AAGCAUCACAAUCUCUUCUCUAGCUAGCUCUUCCUUAGGAAAUACUUUAGUUGUGUAGUUUCUUAUAGUUUAUAUUUUUUACAAUUAAUCUAUAGGACUUAAUUUGGGUAUUAAUAUAAACCUAAUUUGGGGCUCUCCGCACUCCAAGUCUAAAAGGAGGUGAUAGUUUACCCUUGCUGCUUGUUCAUGGUUACCUUUGACUUUGCACAUUGGAAACUUACCAAAGUCAUGGGUUUGCAUGAAUUUGGAGAUAGGGUUGCCUUGAUCUUUUUGUAUUGGAGUGAAGGGAGCUCCAAAAUUGGACUUUCUCAACUAAAACCUCAUUUUAAUUUAUAAUGUUGCCUUGAUCUUUUAAUUUAAGUCAUUGUCUUAAUUGUCUUAUGAUUACUAUCUAAUGGUUGAAUACUUUUUUGUCUUAAAUUAUUGAUCUGUCUCACUUAUAAAUAAUUUAUGUGUAUGUGAGUACAGAAAAAAUCACAUGUAGCAGAUUGCUGAAGGAAAACCAAUGAGGCCCGCAAAGAUAGUUGAUUCUAGUUUUUUGAAAUUUGAAGUGAAACUAUACUGAAAGAAAUAUGUGGCAUACGAUCGAGGUUCAUUGGAUGUCAACUAAUUGGGAUGUCGGUGCUGCCUCUUGAUGUGAGGCCAACUUCCAUGUCUCUUUUUGAGAAAGAAUUUUGCAACACGCCAAAUAAAUACAAAUUAAACUUUGCUGGUGUGAUGAAUUAGGUUGCCAUGAAGAAAUUAUUCCAAACAAUUUUAAUGUCUGAUGAAUUGUGUUGCCUGGAAGAAAUUAUUCCAAACACUUAAAAUAUAAGUAUCAUUGUUAAUUCUCAAGAGUUGUAUACCUUUGUGUAUAAAUUUCUUUAGGAAAUGUAUAUGUAUUGUAUAUAUAUUGUAUAUUGUUAUAUUUUUUGUGGAAAUUAGAUUUUUUUUUUCUA